rnacentral:lncRNA from 1 species
AAAAGGAGAUGCUGAGGCAUUUUCUGGGGUUCAAAUGGAGAAAAGGAAAUGUGGAUACAUUUUCUGGAGACGGGGUUCAAUGACGUUGCCAGCGGAAUUAUCACGAGAGAUUGGAGAAAAGGAGAUGCUGAGGCAUUUUCUGGGGUUCAAAUGGAGAAAAGGAAAUGUGGAUACAUUUUCUGGAGACGGGGUUCAAACGGAGAAAGGGGGAUGUUGCGACAUUUUCUGGAGAACGGGGUUCAUUCUGGCGAUCGAGAGUUAUCGUCAGGCGACUGGGGUUCAAACUGGAGAUGGGGUUCAUUAUUUUGGCAAAGAAGGAGUGCUGAGGCAUU